rnacentral:rRNA from 1 species
AGAGUUUGAUCAUGGCUCAGAACGAACGCUGGCGGCAGGCUUAACACAUGCAAGUCGAACGGGUGCAGCAAUGCAUCAGUGGCAGACGGGUGAGUAACACGUGGGAACCUUCCUAGGGGUACGGAACAACUCAGGGAAACUUGAGCUAAUACCGUAUGUGUCCGAGAGGAGAAAGAUUUAUCGCCCUUAGACGGGCCCGCGUCGGAUUAGCUAGUUGGUGGGGUAACGGCCUACCAAGGCGACGAUCCGUAGCUGAUCUUAGAGGAUGAUCAGCCACACUGGGACUGAGACACGGCCCAGACUCCUACGGGAGGCAGCAGUGGGGAAUCUUGGACAAUGGGCGCAAGCCUGAUCCAGCCAUGCCGCGUGAGUGAAGAAGGUCUUCGGAUUGUAAAGCUCUUUUGCCAGGGACGAUAAUGACGGUACCUGGAGAAUAAGCCCCGGCAAACUUCGUGCCAGCAGCCGCGGUAAUACGAAGGGGGCUAGCGUUGUUCGGAAUUACUGGGCGUAAAGCGCACGUAGGCGGGUGGUUAAGUCAGGGGUGAAAUCCCGGAGCUCAACUCCGGAACUGCCCUUGAUACUGGUCAUCUAGAGAUCGGAAGAGGUGAGUGGAAUUCCCAGUGUAGAGGUGAAAUUCGUAGAUAUUGGGAAGAACACCGGUGGCGAAGGCGGCUCACUGGUCCGAUACUGACGCUGAGGUGCGAAAGCGUGGGGGAGCAAACAGGAUUAGAUACCCUGGUAGUCCACGCCGUAAACGAUGGAAGCUAGCCGUCAGCCAGCUUGCUGGUUGGUGGCGCAGCUAACGCAUUAAGCUUCCCGCCUGGGGAGUACGGUCGCAAGAUUAAAACU